rnacentral:lncRNA from 1 species
UGUGAAUGACGGAGGUUAUUUUUCUCUUAAGUUGAAGGAUAUUUUUGUACAUUGUAGGUAGCAUCUUUUGUUAGUUUCAGUUCUUUAUUCACACGAAUGACACCUAACAGAUUUGGAGUUUACAGUAAGAACCAAAGGAAUGUCUAUAUUUUCAUUAAAAUCACUCAGCCAUUUAUUUCGUAGAGAUUUGGACAUUUUGAAGUUAUAUAAGUUUAAUUAAUUUGAAAAAUUAUUACAAGCGCUAUUAUAUCAUUUUUUUCAGGAUUCAAGUAAGAGAAAAUUUGGCGGAAAAGUAUUUCUCCUUUGUUACAAGAUUCAAGAGGGAGUAUUCAACAAUCAAUUUGGUGAUAAAUUUACCCUUCUUCUUAUUUGCUGUAAUCGUAAUCUUGCUUCCUCAUGGAUUCAUAAACCUGAUUGCAUCCUAUCCCUCCAAAACGAUAGUGUUUUCAAGGUUGAUAGAAAUAAAUUUUAUCGACCUAAUUACAUAAUUGAUGUACAUAACAGACAAACAACUCAUAUCUAUGACACUGAGUGCAUUUAUAAGGCUAUAUUAUUUAUGUAGUUCUAUACACUUCAUCCUCGCUUCCGAUUCUAUUAUUUUUGUGAGUCUCUUCUGUCAUUGGAAAAAGUAGAAAAUGAUCCUGGAACAUAAAUUUAAUGUGGUCCUCUUUUCCAGAUAUCUUUACGUAGGCUGUUAUAUAUAUUUCUGGCCUAGGCUAUAGUAAGUGUUGCCAGGUGCAAUUUGACAUUUCCUUUGUGACUUGAAAAAAUUAAUUUGCCAAAAAAAAUGGAAUUAAAUCGUGAACCUUUUUUAUGCGAUCAUUUUUCACAACUUUCGACGUGGAUUGUCACAACAAGAGUGCACUGAGGAACUUAAAUCUUUGUGUGGCGAUGAAGCACCAUCGUAUAAUACUGUGAAAAACUGUUUUAAUAAAUGCAAUCGUGGCCGACGCUCGCUCAAAGACGAAUUCCGUGAGGGCCGUCCAAAAACGGCCGUUAAGCCAGAGAACAUUGAUGCCGUGCGUGGAGUGAUAAUGUGAGAUUGUCACGUGAGAUAUCGGGAGAUAAAGACAUGCUUGGGCAUUUCUUCCACCAGCAUACAUUCGAUAUUGCAUGUACACCUGGCCGUGAAAAAAGUUUUGUUCUUGUUGGAUCCCGCACAAUUUGGCAAUUGUUCAAAAGAAGGCUCGUGUCCACUGGUGCAAAGAAAUGCUGAAAAAAUACGCUCGUGGGGCUUCAAAAGACGUUUAUAAGAUCGUCACAGGUGACAAAUCAUAGAUCUAUGCGUAUGAGUCCGAAACAAAACAACAAUUGACCGUGUGGGUCUUCGAAAAUGAGCCAAAUCCAACGAAAGUUGUUCGUGGAAUAAGCACUUCGAAGCAAAUGGUCGCCUGUUUCUUUGGCAAAACUGGUCAUGUGGCGACUUUUCCACUUGAGCAUUGUAGGACGGUCAAUACUGAGUGGUACAUCGCAAUUUGUUUGCCUGAAGUCUUCGGAGAGAUUCGAAAAACAAACAAGAGAAGACUAAUAAUAGUUCACCAUGACAAUGCGAGCUCUCACACAUUGGCUUAAACCAGCGUCUUUUUGACCGGCCAAAACGUCGAAUUGAUAGGUCAUUCGCCGUUCAGCCCCUGACUUGUUAUCCAAUGACUUCUUUUUAUUCCGCACAUCAAGAAAAAAAUGUGUGGUCACCGAUUUUCGUCAACAAAAGAUGCUGUUGAAGCGUUUAAAAACCAUGUUUUGGAAGUAUCUCACUCGGAGUGGAAAAGGAGCUUCGACAAUUGAUUUGAGCGCAUGCAAAAGUGUAUAAUUCAUACUGGAGAGUACUUUGAAAAAAAACAAAAAACAUUUUUGAUGAUAAAUUUUCGCAUUUUCAUUAAUAGGCCAGAAAUCUCUAUAGCAGCCUACAUAUCAGCAAAGCUGCAAAACAUAUUCAACUCUCCUAUUACCAAAAUAUGCAUAAAUAGUGCAUGGGAAUUAUUACAUGAUAAAUAUGUUAAUAAACUAUCGGUGAUCUUAUAAAUUUAGUAGAGUUGUAUUGGAAAAUAUAAAUUUCGUUGAACAUAUUCUAAAAGUUAAUGAGUUGGAAGUCAUUUUCUGAAUUACUAAAUCACUAGUCAUCAUAUUUAAAUAUCACUUGAUCGUGAAGAUUUUGGAUCUCCACAUCAAUAGACAAUAUUCAAUAAAUAACUUACGGAUUACACUAAAUACUUAAGAUGUAACAAAACUGUAUAUUAGCACGAUUAUUACAGUAUUCAUUGACAAUAAAUAAUAGAUUAUGUUCAAAGCAAAACAGUUCCUUUUUUAAGGAAGAACAUCUUAUUUUAAGAUCCGCCAUUGAGCCAGCAGAUGUGCAGAAAGAUAGUAAUUUCGUCCCAAAAGUAUCAAAAGAUCGAAACAGCCAAGCAGGAAGUGGAAAGAUACUUAACUGAUGACUAUGAAGGUCUUGAAAUGAUCUUGGACUACUGAAGGGUAAAAAACUAUUUAAAAGAUACAAUAUUGAGCUUCCCAUUACUGCUUGAGGCGGACCAAAAUGAAGGCUCAGAGACGACAGCUUUGAGGAUCAGCUCUUGUUAAUGUUCAAUAAAGAGCUAGAAGAGAAAUGAUUUAUGUAAAUAUUUUAUUAUCCCCGGUAGACUAUAUUUUAGUUAUUUUCUAGAGAUAUAUAUAUUUUUUUAUUAUAAUAAAAUAUUGUAAAUAAAUACAUUUGAAAAAGG